UUUAAUGAAGGAAAAACUAUGAAACAAACAAAGCAUAAAGUGCAGGGCGAGAAAAACAAUCGUGAAAUAAAACAGCUUAUUUGUGUUUGGUGAUUCGACAAGCGCUUUAAACAGGUGUGAGAAACUAAAUAAUAAUAAAUGGUAAUUAUAAGAAAUAAAAAAACGAAGAAGUGAUACUUCAAAAAGGUAAGCAUAGCUGGAGAAUUAAUGAUCAGAGAGAAC
rnacentral:lncRNA from 1 species